GGGGGAGCGGAGAAAAACCUUUCUAUCUCAAUGGCUUGCCACCGGUCUUGAAAACCGGCGUGCGGGAAACCGUACCGUGGGUUCGAAUCCCACCUCUUCCGCCA
rnacentral:tRNA from 1 species